rnacentral:rRNA from 1 species
AUGAGGAACUAUCUUGUGGAGAAUCCCACAUACCCCGAGUCCUACUUUCGGCGCCGUUUUAGGAUGAGCAUCGAGUUGUUCAAAUGCAUUGAAGAGAAACUGACGAGUUGUGAUCGGUUUUUUCAGCAAAGGAGGAAUGUCGCCGGAGAACUCGGACAUAACACCUUUCAAAAGGUGACAGCGCUUUGCGUAUGUUGGUAUGCGGUAUUUUGGCGGAUCUAG